rnacentral:lncRNA from 1 species
GGAACUUCCAUAUGUGCUGUGGGUGCGGCCCUAGAAAGACAAAAAAAUUUUUUUAAUAAAAACAAAAUUUAAAAAUUCUCACUUUAUAUGUAUGUAGCUUUUCGACCAGAAAAUAAAUGUAUGUGGUUCAAAACUUUUAAACUAGUUACUUUUCACCUUUUUUUUGGUUGAGCCUAAAGACUGAACUUGCCUGGUAUGUCAUAAAGAAUUUAAUCUUGCCCCUAAAGAGGUCUGGUCUUUUGCCUUUGGAUCCCUGGAAAUAAUCCUAAAUUGCUGGAAUGUCCUGCUUCAUAAAAGCCUUUGUUUACUGGAGGAGCUUGAGCUGUGCUAGACAGCCUAACAAUGUGAUCUUCGGCUGGGACUUUAGGUCACACAGUAUUAACUCAACCUGAGGAAGAGCUGGAGACAGGCUGGCUACAUAGGCGGUCAACCAUACCUGUGGGAUGAUAGAGUCCCAAUAAAAUCUCUGGACACCACGGCGUGGGUGAGCUUCUUGGAUUGGCAAUGGUCCAUGUGUAUUACCACGCAUCACUGCCAGGAAGAGUUAAUGCUGCCCAUAACUCCCCUGGAAGAGGACAAUCAGAAGCUCAACAUUGGAAACCUCCCAGACUCCCUCCCACGUGUCUCUUCCAUUGUUUUUUUUGUUUUGUUUUUUUUCUUUUCUUUUUUUUCCCCCCGCUUUUUAUGGCUGCACCUGCAGCAUAUGAACUUCCCAGGCUACGGGGGCAAAUUGGAGCUGCAGCUGCCAGCCUACGCCACAGUCACAGCAACACAGGAUCCAAGCUGUAUCUUUGACCAACACCACAGCUCACUGCAACUCUGGAUCGUUAACCCACUGAGCAAGGGAGAUACCAGUUUCUCAGACAGUGGCACUGACCAAAAGCAGCCACAGAAGGCCAAAAAGCUUGUUCUGGUUCAAAAUACAAAAGCAUUUCAUCAUUAUUCCAAGAAUGAGAGCCAAAUCUAUACCAUUACUUUUUUAAAAAAAGUAUGAGCAACUAUAUUCAAUAUCCUGUAAUAAACCAUAAUGAAAAAGGAUAUGAAAAAGAAACCGAAUAACUUUACACUAGAAACUAACACAACAUUGUAAAAUCAAGUAUACUUCCCACCCCCACCCCACCCCCCAAAAAAGUAUGAGCAAGUUCAGGGAUGGCGAACAGGACAGUGGGAACAAACAAUGUUUCUCUUCUGCCCAAGUGACUGAUGGCUACUCACUUUCUGCCUACAGUGAUAUGAAAGGGGAAAAUAUUUUAAAAGGCAAAGAAUAUGCAGGUAGUAGUGUGCCCACACAUUAAAGAAAAAAAAAGGAUGCAUGAAAAAACACAAGAUGGAGACAAAAGAGAAACAUCAGUUGUGGUAUGAUGGAAAAUAGAAAAGAGAAGAAAUAAAUUGCCUCACUCUUAGAUCCUGCUAUCCUUCUUCCAAGCCUACAAUCUGUAAGAGGUGGGAGAAUAGGAAAUGAGAAGAAAUACUCUCAAACAAAAUUAAUUAAUUCCCUACAACUCAUACCCUAAGACUAGAGAAUUUCAAAGUGCCCCCAAGUAUCUGGGUCAUAUUUAUAGCUAAACUGAAUCUUGAUUUAAUGCUGUGCUUUUCAAAGGGAUUCCUCCCUCAUCUCUCCUAAAAAUACAACUAUAAAAACAUAAGCUUCACCACAAAAAUCAGCAUAACAAUUUCUAUCUCUGAGCAGAGAUUAAGAGAAGAACACUGCAUAGCUUCUAUCUUUCUCACUGCUGCCAAAACAAAAUAACAAUAAUCUAAAAAUCUAAAUUAUUUUACAAUGUUUCACAGAUUGUGGACUGUUUCUACACUGCCUUGCAGCCUUCCAAGGAUGGACCAGUGGGAUUUAACAUGAACCAAAUCUGUCAACCAAGUUGAAGACAGACACGUGGGUUCUAAUGAGCAAUGGUGAAAAAACGCUGCUCCAUUCAGCUCCAAACAAUGAUAAAUAAUUCAGGAAAAGAACUGCCGCAAUACAGAGCACAGCAGCAAGAUUUAAAAAUAGACCUUAGCGCCUAGGUGGAGGAAUCAGGAGUCAGAGAAAAAGGAUUUAUGUCAACAAAUUCCCAAGCCCUUUAAAUUUAGGAUGCUGCUGAAACUGUCACUCAAAACAGAUGCCAGAAUUUCAAUGCACUUUUUCAAAAAAAAAAAAAACAAAAACAAAACAAGUAUUUUUCAGGAACUUGGCAAAUUUGGUAACAAAAGAGCUAAUAAACAACAGUAUUAUAUAGCAAUAGUAGGUAGUAUAAAAAAAGCAAAUGCAAAUGACAUAGAAAAGAUACGUUUUUAAGAAAAAAAUUAAAAGGGGGUUUAAAAUCCACUAUUUUUCAUACCACUACAUUCUAGGUCUAAUAUCAAUUUAAACUUAUUGACUAUGCUCUAGAAUUGAGGGUACAUAGCACUCAAGAUCUUUCUAUGAAGUUUUCUACCUCUAACAGAUCUAAUCUAUAUAACACGCAAAACAAAGAUCCUCACCUGUUAAUAAAAAGGGUAUCUUGAAAACUGAACAGAAGUCAUGAUUAUGUUCUUACCAUAUUUAAAGUCCAAGUCUGAUAAAUCUGACAAACUUAUAAUUAGAUGAGGAGAGUCCAAGAUGAUGGGUUCAUGUGGAUUGUGCAGGUUUGAACCUACUCAAGAAUGCUUCAAGUAUAGGGUAUGAUGAAUACUGUGGCUGAACAGUCAUUCUUAAGACUGGUGUCCUGAAGACUAUAAGAAUGAUCAGAAUCCAGAUGUAUUCUAUGAACUCAACAAUGUGUAUGAUGAAAAAAUAACAUUUUACAUCCAAACUACACUUCCCCACAGCCCCAAAAUAUACACCGCACUCCUUUUCCUAAUUCUGAGAUCAAUUUCAGACAACUGAAAAUUUUAAGAUUACAUAAUGAUGUCUAAUCUACUUUUAAUGUAUGGUAUAAAAUACAACAGUAAACCAUCACUCCCUUUCUCUGUAAAUCUUACUGUUGACAAAGGACAGUAUGAUCAAAUGCACCUAGGUUUGAGCCUUGGUGCCAGCACCACUGUUGGCUGUGGUGAAGAAACCCUAUUCUGGGUCUUGCAUUUUUUAGACAGAUCCACUCUGAUCCGCUUCUGACCUGUCUACUCUCAGGACAAGAUGGGACCAAGGCACCAUACCUACCUGAAGCCCCUGACUCUACUGCUCACAACUAUAUGCUCUGGAUCCUAGAAUUCCCCGCCCUAACAGUCCCAAGCCCACUUCCAGGGCCUUCAGUGCAUCUCUUCUCAAACUCUGUCCUCCCAUAGAUAAUACUCAUUUUUGCCGGGGUGGUGUUGGCUACACCUGCAGCAUGUGAAAUUCCCAGGCCAGGGAUUGACCCAGCACCACAGCAGCGACCUGAGCUGCUGCAGUGACAACACCUGUUCCUUAACCUGAUAUGCCACAAGGGAACUCCAGACAAUACUCAUUGUUGACACAUUCCAUGGUCUGAAUGGUGGGGCAAGGGAUAGAUGAUGAGAGGGAUGCAGAUGGAGAUCAGACCUAGAGGAUAUCUCUGCACUAUUCCAUCCUGUCUCAGAACUUUGAGGAGUCCAAGAAUUCUGGCCUUCUAGGUCAUUAUAAAAACAUAUCUAAGUAGGAGGAAAACAUUUUUUCUAACUUUUUUUAAAAAUCCUGACUUAUAACUUAAAUGUAUAGACAUAUGGAAUAUGUGCUUCCAUUCAUGUUCUUAAAAUUGUUAGGAGCAGGCCUACCUAGCCAUAUCACACAACAGCUAUGUGAUCUCAGAGUAGUUACCACUUCUGUAAGCCUCACUUUACUGACUUGUAAAAUAAGCAAGUGAAAAUGUCCUUCAGGGACAGAGCCUCCCUGUCGUGGCUCAGCGGUAAUGAACCCAACUGGAUCCAUGAGGAUGUGGGUUUGACCCCUGGCCUCACUCAGUGAGUCGGGGAUCCAGCGUUGCCGUGAGCUGUGGUGUAGGUUGCAGAUGCUGCUCGGAUCUGGCACUGCUGUGACUGUGGCAUAGGCUGGCAGCUAUGGCUCCAAUUUGACCCCUAGCCUGGUAACCUCCAUAUGUUGUGGGUGUGGCCCUAAAAAAAAUGUCCUUCAGAAGAUUUUAAUGCAAUUAAAUAAUUUUCAAAAUUAUCCUGCAGGGUGCCUAGUGCAUAGCAAAUCUGUGACAAACUGAACCUGUUAAUUAUUAUAUGCUCUGCCAUCACUCUUCUUCCUAGCAUGGGCAAAAAAAGACCAAAAGGACAAAAAAAGUAGAGCCAACUUCAGCGAAACUACAACCAAAACACAGCCAUUUGUCCUCAGGAAACCAAAAAUAGAAUUACCAUAUGAUCCACCAAUCCCAAUCCUGGGCAUAUACCCAGACAAAGCAAUGAUUCAAAGGGAUACAUGCACCCCCAAUGUUCACAGCAGCACUAUUUACAAUAGCCAAGACAUGGAAACAACCUAAAUGUCAGCUGACAGAUGAACAGAUUAAGAAGAUGUGGUACAUACAUACAAUGGAACACUCAGCCAUAAAAAAAGAACAAAAUAAUGCCAUUCCCAACAACAUGGAUGCAACUAGAAAUUAUCAUACUAAAUGAAGUAAGUCAGAAAGAGAAGGACAGGCAUUCCCACUGUGGCUAAGUGGGUCAAGGACCCAGUGUUGUCUCUAUGAGGAUGCAGGUUCAAUCCCUGGCCUGGCUCAGUGGGUUACAGAUCUGGCAUUGCUGCAAGCUGCAGUGUAGGUCAAGGAUGCAACUUGGAUCUGGCGUUGCCAUGGUUGUGGCAUAAGCCCACAGCUGAAGCUCCAAAUUCAACCCCUGGCCUGGGAACUUCCAUAUGCCAUGUGGCCAUAAAAAGAGGGGGGAAAAAAAAGAAAUAGGACAAAUACCACAUGAUAUCACUUAUAUGUGGAAUCUAAAAUAUGGCACAAAACAGAACCAUACUCACAGAUUUAGAGAACAGACUUGUGGUUGCCAAGGAGGAGAGGGGAAGGAGAGAGAUACACUGGGAGUUUGAGGAUAGUAGAUAUAAAUUAUUACAUUUAGAAUGGAUAGACAAUGAGGUCCUACUGCAUAGCACAGGAAAUUAUAUCCAACCUCCUAGUAUAAACCAUAAUGGAAAGAAGCUUUUUUUAAAGAAUGUAUAUAUGUGUAUAACAAAGUCACUCUGCUUGUGUAGAAAUUAGCAUAACAGUGUAAAUCAACUAUAGUUUAAUUUAAAAAAACAGCCAUUUAUAGUUCUCAUUUUAAGGAAUUAUUUUUCUUAACAACCAUUUCUCCCACUAACAUAUAAGUGCCAUUUUUUUCUAACCACGCAAGGAGAUGAAUGUUAAAAAAAACUUACUGUGGCAAUCAUUUCUCAAUAUAUAUAUGUCAAGUCAUUGUGCGGUACACCUUAAACUUAUAUAGAGUGGUCUGUCAACUGUAUCUCAAACAAACUGGGAAAAAAAAGCUCUACAAGGGCAGGGAUUUUUCCUUUUCUUCACUGCUAUAUCCCUUAGUCUCAAGUUUCUGGCGAGACAAGUAUUUGUUAAUAAACCAUUAACUAGAACAAGCAAGUAUGGAGUGGUUAUCUGACAACCCAACAUCAAUCUCAUAUGGAAGCAAGCCUGGCAUAACCAGAAAAUGAAGUAUUUAUAUACAACUACUUCACUUAGCUGCUUCUUCUAAUUUCAGAAGUUUCCUUAAAAAUAAAAUUAAUGAAAACAUUAGAGUAUGUCUUUUUUUUUUUUUUUUU